ACUGACUGGCUCAUCUUGAGCCUACCCUCCGCCGGCAGGCGCGAGUAACCCGUUGAACCCCAUUCGUGAUGGGGAUCGGGGAUUGCAAUUCUUCCCCGUGAAC
rnacentral:ncRNA from 1 species